UGGGUUAAAACAGCGCAAAAAGACGAAGGACCAGUAAAAGGAAACACACAGACACAGCGCUAUGCGACAGACAGACACAGCGCUGUGUGUCUGUGUGUUUCCUUUUACUGGUCCUUCGUCUUUUUGCGCUGUUUUAACCCAG
rnacentral:pre_miRNA from 1 species